rnacentral:ncRNA from 1 species
AGUGUGGAGGGAUUUGGAUGCUUGCAACCACCAAAAAAAAUGCUAAAAAG